rnacentral:rRNA from 1 species
GACGAACGCUGGCGGCGCGCUUAACACAUGCAAGUCGAACGGAAAGGCCUGCUUUCCCUUGUGGAUUGCGGGUACUCGAGUGGCGAACGGGUGAGUAACACGCGAGUGAUCUGCCCUCAACUUGGGUAUAAGCCUGGGAAACUGGGUCUAAUUUCCGAUAGGACUGCAGGGUGGUGCCUGCGGUGGAAUACGAUAUUCUAGUGGUUGGGGUUGGGCACGCGGUCUAUUAGCUUGUUGGUGGGGUAAUGGUCUACCAAGGCGGCGACGGGUAGCCGGCCUGAGAGCGGUGACGGCGACAUUGAGACUGGGACACGGCCCAGACUCCUACGGGAGGCAGCAAUGGGGAAUAAUGCGCAAUGGGCGGAAGCCUGAUGCGGCGACGCCGCGUGGGAGAUGACGGCCUUCGGGUUGUAAACUCCUUGCGAGCACGAGGAGUCCACCUGGAUGGAAGGGUGGUGACGUUAGUGGUAGAAGAAGCACCGGCUAACUACGUG